rnacentral:rRNA from 1 species
UCGAACGAAGCGCCUGCGGCGGACCCCUCCGGGGGAAAGCCGCAGGGGACUGAGUGGCGGACGGGUGAGCAACGCGUGGGCAACCUGCCCCGUACCGGGGGACAACAGCCGGAAACGGCUGCUAAUACCGCAUAUUCCCGCGGGGCCGCAUGGCCCUGCGGGGAAAGCUCCGGCAGUACGGGAUGGGCCCGCGUCUGAUUAGCUUGUUGGCGGGGUAACGGCCCACCAAGGCUGCGAUCAGUAGCCGGCCUGAGAGGGCGGCCGGCCACAUUGGGACUGAGACACGGCCCAGACUCCUGCGGGAGGCAGCAGUGGGGGAUAUUGCACAAUGGGGGGAACCCUGAUGCAGCGACGCCGCGUGAACGAAGAAAUAUUUCGGUAUGUAAAGUUCUAUCAGCAGGGAAGAAAAUGACAGUACCUGACCAAGAAGCCCCGGCUAACUACGUGCCAGCAGCCGCGGUAAUACGUAGGGGGCGAGCGUUAUCCGGAUUCACUGGGCGUAAAGGGAGCGCAGGCGGCACGGCAAGUCCGGUGUGAAAGCCCGGGGCCCAACCCCGGGACUGCACUGGAAACUGCCGGGCUGGAGUGUCGGAGGGGCAGGCGGAAUUCCUAGUGUAGCGGUGAAAUGCGUAGAUAUUAGGAGGAACACCGGUGGCGAAGGCGGCCUGCUGGACGACGACUGACGCUGAGGCUCGAAAGCGUGGGGAGC